GAGGGUACGAAUAUGAUUUUUAUGAAAAAUAAACAGAAAAGUUAAACUCUAAAGGUAAACAAACCAUAGUCGAUAGUUAGUAGUCGAAUAAAAAUAAGUCGAUAACAGAUCGCUGUUACAGCCCUUUAAAGCUGUUAAGGCAAACAAUCCGGCAACCCCAUCCAUCUGGCAAUUUUGACAACUGAAUUUCCGCUUGCUUGGCUGGUUCUUUUGCAAUCAAAACGCCAAAGUUAGAAGUUGUCUACAACCAAAAGAAAUAGUGAAUAUCGCCAACGUGGAAACUGGGAUAGUACCGAACACGGUACACCAGGAGACUGAGAUCAGAAGCCGAACGUUGGCUGUGGAUGAGCCCAGCCGUUCGCCGCUGCACGUGUGUUGUGGUUGUGGCGAAAAAGACUCCAGGAAGUGUUAGGAAACCCCCCCGAUCGUUUACGUAGCGCUCGCCAAAAGCCUACGUCAAGCCACCGAUCGAGUUUCGACCCAGAGGUCUACGGCGGAGACACCGCGUGGAUCAUCGGCCAGGGAUCCAGGAAAAGCUUUCCUCGAUCAGCCCCUAAACGUGCGCGAACCCGGUCCAGACUCGAACCGCGAUCGGCGAGGUCUGUGACCGGCGACGUGUGCGUGAUUGGGGCCGCAGAAGAUCAGGAGCGGCUGGAACCUGGCCAACCCAGGAGCGUGGAGGACAUAACCUCACUUUCCGGCGCAGAACCGCAUGUUCGUUUGAGCCGACCGCAUUUAACCUGAUGGGCUAGCCGACGAUCGCUGAGGCAGACAUCUCGUCCAUAGUGACGAUUCAACGAGAACAACAACAACCAGGAGAGAGGCGCGACAAGCUGUGCCAGGAUUAGUGUAUUAUUGAGUAGAAUUUAAUUUUCAUUAUUUUUGUUUUGUAAGUCAUUUUGGAUCGUACAUAGACUCAUCUUUUGUUUUCUGUAGAGCAUUGAUAAGAGGCACAUGUACAUCAAAACUCCAUAAUAUAAUUCGCAUUUAACCUGAUCACCCCAAAACAUCCAGCGUUCUCGUCUACAGGCCUGCGGACUUCGAGGGAUGGUUUCGUGAGUAAACAUUGUCAUGUAACAAACUUGAUCAUGUAACAGUGCCUCUAGAGGAAAACAUAUGAAUAGUCAGUCCAUAUCAAAAUGAUUGGGUAGACGUUAUAACUUAACUCCUACUUCACAUUCAUACAUAUAAUUCUUUAUCCACACAUUUUUACAUUAUAUUCCAAUUUGUUAAUUAAGCUAGAGUAAACUCAUUUUAUAGGAUUAGGACCAAUUAGGAGUAAGGGUUUAGGUUAAGCAUGAGUCUGAAGAAGAAGCUAUUAUGAUUU